rnacentral:lncRNA from 10 species
GCACUCAAACCAUAGGACACUUUCUUUUCACUCUUCCCUCCCCUUUCCAAAGGAAAACACAGUGCCUUAAAUGAGAGAUUUUUUUUUAUUGCUUUCUCAUGGAACUGCUGAGAUGUGAGAGGGUCAAAGCUUCUGGAGUAUCUCUUUCCUCCUCAGUACUAGGCUUUCAUGGUCCAGUUUCAAUCUUCUGCAUAUGGUUAGCCAGUUAUUCUGUCAGUAUUUAUUGAAUGGGGAGUCCUUUCCCCAUUGCUUUUUUUGUCAAUUUUGUCAAAGAUUAGAAUGCUUCCACCUUUGCCCAUUCAGUAUGAUAUUGGCUGUGGGUUUAAUAU